rnacentral:rRNA from 1 species
AGAGUUUGAUCCUGGCUCAGGACGAACGCUGGCGGCGUGCUUACACGUGCAAGUCGAACGAUGAACCACUUCGGUGGGGAUUAGUGGCGAACGGGUGAGUAUCACGUGGGCAAUCUGCCCUGCACUCUGGGACAAGCCCUGGAAACGGGGUCUAAUACCGGAUACUGAUCAUCUUGGGCAUCCAAGGUGUUCGAAAGCUCCGGCGGUGCAGGAUGAGCCCGCGGCCUAUCAGCUUGUUGGUGAGGUAAUGGCUCACCAAGGCGACGACGGGUAGCCGGCCUGAGAGGGCGACCGGCCACACUGGGACUGAGACACGGCCCAGACUCCUACGGGAGGCAGCAGUGGGGAAUAUUGCACAAUGGGCGAAAGCCUGAUGCAGCGACGCCGCGUGAGGGAUGACGGCCUUCGGGUUGUAAACCUCUUUCAGCAGGGAAGAAGCGAAAGUGACGGUACCUGCAGAAGAAGCGCCGGCUAACUACGUGCCAGCAGCCGCGGUAAUACGUAGGGCGCGAGCGUUGUCCGGAAUUAUUGGGCGUAAAGAGCUCGUAGGCGGCUUGUCACGUCGGUUGUGAAAGCCCGGGGCUUAACCCCGGGUCUGCAGUCGAUACGGGCAGGCUAGAGUUCGGUAGGGGAGAUCGGAAUUCCUGGUGUAGCGGUGAAAUGCGCAGAUAUCAGAGGAACACCGGGGGGCGAAAGGCGGAUCUCUGGGCCGAUACUGACGCU